AUUUGAUAUCAAAACUUGCUCGUGUGAAUUUUGACAUCAAGAGUACUUAUCCCUAAGAUGAAGAGUUGUUGGGUUCUUCCCCUCCUUUUGGUGCUUUUCCUUGCCUUCUCUAAAGGUAGCAUUCAAUAUCCUCAAUAUGCUUGUCAGACCAAGCCUGGCUAUCUUGCGGAGUGCACGAAAGAGAAAUGCGUCCAGCUUUGUGGCGGUGGAAAAGAUGAUGGGCACAAAAAUCCUGGAUGUGUCGAUGAACAUUCCUGUUGUUGCUAUGUUAACAAAAAUUAACUGAAGUUGAUUAAUUUGUCAUUGCAACAGUGAUUGAUGAUCUUUAAUCAUCUUCUUCAUAAAUAUCAAGUGAAUGAGUGCAGGGAUGUGGCAAUUAUUGCUAGAGAAACUUGUGUUGAGUGAGUGUCUUUAGUUAUUAGGUAUAAAUUUGGAUGAUUUUCAAUUUAUUUAUUUAUUUAUUUUUUGACUAGGGGCCGUCUUUGGUUGCCUUUCUUUUGGUAACCGGUUUUUUUUUUUGUGAGGAUAUAUCUCUUCUUUUGUUUGUAUUCUUUUGUAUAUCAAUUAAAUAAGCACGUUCAGGAAAUAAUAAAUAAAUAAAGGCUGGCUCUUGUA